AUGUUUCCUCUCCAUCCUCAUGUUGUUCUUUUAUCAAUCUUGUUCAGGGUGAAAGCAAGUCCUCUGGCGCAGAUGGUCAUAAUGAGGAACGCAGCAAAAAGAAAAGACGUAGCGGCAGUCGUAGUCCGAGCCCAGGUCAGCGGAGGAGUAGAAGCGGGGGCCUCAAGAAGAGCCGCGAACAACGCAGGAGCCGUAGCCGCGAGCGGAAACGUUCACGGAGCAAAGAACACAAGCGGUCGCGAUCCCGCAGCAAGGAUCGGGGUGGACGUUAUCGUGGACGCAAAAGCCCCUUGUAAGUUAACCCCUGAUUGUUCAGUUUAGAGUCUAUAUGUUAUUUCUCUUGGUCAGCUUUUCCGAAUUCAGGGUUGUAAAUUGUCAGUCGGUCAUCUACAACACAGUCAAAUAGUUAAAGAAAUGUGACCCUGGACCACAAAACCAGUCUUAAGUGUCAAUUUUUUGUUAGGAUAUGACAAUAUUUGGCAGAGAUACAACUGUUUGAAAAUCUAAGUUCUGAGGGUGCAAAAAAAUUUAAAUACUGAGAAAAUCAUCUUUAAAAUUGUCCAAAUUAAGUUCUCAGCAAUGCAUAUUACUGAUCAAAAAUUAGGUUUUAAUAUAUUUACAGUAGGAAAUUUACAAAAUAUCUUCAUGGAACAUGAUCUUUACUUAAUAACCUAAUGAUUUUUGGCAUAAAAGAAAAAUCAAUAAUUUUGACCCAUACAAAUGUAUUUUUUGGCUAUUGCUACCAAUAUUCCCCAGCGACUCAAGACUGCUUUUGUGCUCCAGGGUCACAUGAGCAAAUGAUGCUUGUGUUAGCAAACCACACCACUUUUUUCAAAGUCAAAGUUUGGAAUGUGAUUCAUCUCAGCUGUUUGGUUUGGUUCAUAGUUUAUAAUGCUUUAAAGAAUGUGUUCUGUUUAUGCACACACACACACACACACCCACACACACAUACAUACAUACAUGUAUAUAUAUAUGGUUUAUAACGGUUUAAUGAAGAGAAUGAAUGGAAAAAAUACUUCAAGAAUCAAGGCUGCUGAAAAAGUGUGUAAUUUUGGUGCCCAUAGUGUCCUAGUGAAAUGGAAUCGCAACAAUGAUGGUUAUCAAAAUGGUUUCCAGACAAACAUUUUAACAUGAAAUCACCUUUAAGCUCAGAAAAUACUCUCUCAGAUUUAGGCCUUUAUCUUGAUGUUGUGAAUGUAGAAGCGUGACCAACAGCUUUCAAACGGGUUCAGAGAUCGGAGGGACGUCAUGGUUUUCAUGAGCUUGUGAACUCUGCGCUCUACCUGCAAGAUUAAUACAUGCCAUUGUUUAACAUUCCAGAAAGAAGCACCUGAAGAGAGAAGAGGGGAGAUGAGUCGACUGGAAUCUAUUUCCAUAAUUCUGCCGAGCCUGUCUGCCGGUAAGACCUCAGGUGGUUCAUCGGUUGCCCCGGCCAGACCCUAUCAAUGCGAGGGGCGAUCUCAUCCUUUCUGCAUCUUUUCUCAUCACAGCUUGAUUAAAUGGGCUUCAAAUAUGCCUCCGGAAUAACAAAUGUGCAAUUCCCUCAGCGCUCGCUCACAGUCCUGCCCGUGAAAUGCGCGCACACACACACACACACACACACACACACACACGUGCUACAGUUCUAACACACAUGAAUUUCUUUUUUGAUAUUAGAUUUCUGACUCUUGUUGAAGCCAAUAAAAAUAGCAUGUUUUAUUUCA
ensembl:lncRNA